rnacentral:rRNA from 1 species
CAGAACGAACGCUGGCGGCGCGUCUUAAGCAUGCAAGUCGAACGGGCAAGAGGUAGCAAUACCUCCUAGAGUGGCGGACUGGUGAGUAACACGUGGGUGACAUACCCUUCAGAUGGGGAUAGCUAUUAGAAAUAGUAGAUAAUACCGAAUACGAGCACAGGGGUUAGAGAUCUGUGAGGAAAGGAGCUAAGGCUCCGCUGAAGGAAUGGCCUGCGGCCCAUUAGCUAGUUGGUGAGGUAAGAGCCCACCAAGGCGAUGAUGGGUAUCCGGCCUUAGAGGGUGAACGGACACAUUGGGACUGAGAUACGGCCCAGACUCCUACGGGAGGCAGCAGCUAAGAAUAUUCCGCAGUGGACGAAAGUCUGACGGAGCGACGCCGCGUGGAUAGAAGAAGGCCGGAAGGUUGUAAAAUCCUUUGAAACUGAAGAAUAAGCGUUGUAGGGAAUGACAGCGUGGUGACAGUAGGUUUUGAAUAAGCAACGGCUAAUUACGUGCCAGCCGCAGC